UUGGUCGCUGAAUACGAAUCUAAUGUCAGAUUACUUGAAUUCUGUAACGUAUUCCGAAAAUUUAGACAUUUUUUGUCGGAAAUUCUACUUUUUGGCACAAAAACGGCAAACUAAGUACUUAUCGUCCAAAUUGUGCUCUAGGAGGGAAAAUCGGAUUCGUAAUCAGCGUUCGAAAAUACCUUUUAGAGUACAGUUUGGACGAUAAAUACUUAGUUAAGUUGGCUGAAUGUUCCUUGAGGUCUUACAAACACGUUACA